CCUACGGGGGGCUGCAGUGGGGAAUAUUGCACAAUGGGCGCAAGCCUGAUGCAGCCAUGCCGCGUGUGUGAAGAAGGCCUUCGGGUUGUAAAGCACUUUCAGCGGGGAGGAAGGCGUUAAGGUUAAUAACCUUGGCGAUUGACGUUACCCGCAGAAGAAGCACCGGCUAACUCCGUGCCAGCAGCCGCGGUAAUACGGAGGGUGCAAGCGUUAAUCGGAAUUACUGGGCGUAAAGCGCACGCAGGCGGUCUGUCAAGUCGGAUGUGAAAUCCCCGGGCUCAACCUGGGAACUGCGUUCGAAACUGGCAGGCUAGAGUCUUGUAGAGGGGGGUAGAAUUCCAGGUGUAGCGGUGAAAUGCGUAGAGAUCUGGAGGAAUACCGGUGGCGAAGGCGGCCCCCUGGACAAAGACUGACGCUCAGGUGCGAAAGCGUGGGGAGCAAACAGGAUUAGAUACCCCGGUAGUC
rnacentral:rRNA from 1 species